AUCCCUACGGGAGGCAGCAGUGGGGAAUAUUGCGCAAUGGGCGAAAGCCUGACGCAGCGACGCCGCGUGAGGGAUGAAGGUCUUCGGAUCGUAAACCUCUGUCAGCAGGGAAGAACGGUCACUGUGCUAAUCAGCAGUGAAUUGACGGUGCCUGCAAAGGAAGCACCGGCUAACUCCGUGCCAGCAGCCGCGGUAAUACGGAGGGGGCAAGCGUUAUCCGGAUUUAUUGGGUUUAAAGGGUGCGCAGGCGGGCUGUUAAGCCGGCGGUAAAAAUUCAGGGCUCAACCCUGUCGAGCCGUCGGAAC
rnacentral:rRNA from 1 species